GGGGGCGUGGCGGAAUCGGCAGACGCACCGGACUUAAAAUCCGGGUCCUGAGAGGGAGUGUGGGUUCGAGUCCCACCGCCCCUA
rnacentral:tRNA from 1 species